GGCGACAUGGCCGAGUGGUAAGGCGGGGGACUGCAAAUCCUUUUUCCCCAGUUCAAAUCCGGGUGUCGC
rnacentral:tRNA from 1 species